ensembl:lncRNA
GUAGGAACGCCUACUUCAUAGACUUCGUAGUACACAGCGACUGAAUGGAUGUAGCUAAAAGAGUCGUUCAUAAAGAAUCGACCUCACCCGAUUCAGUGAGAUCGAUUCAUUCGAACGAGUCCACUGUUGUACAGUUUCCCUUUAAAGUUAGUUGCACCUAUGAGCUCGCGCAGGGUCCGGGCGCGUCACCGAGCAAUUAGAGGGAAACACACACACACACACACACACACACCCGCACACACAUACACACACACACACAGAGCAGAGUUAGAUCCCAAAGCACACAUUUCUCUUCAUCACUGAAAGGAUUUCGGAAGUAAAGGAGGCUCGCGCGCUUUCACACUAAAACCACUGGAUCAAAAUCUGGAGAUGUACACUGACUUUUUUUUUUUUUUUUUUUUUUUGUUGUGUGUGUGUGUGUGUGUGUGUGUGUGUGUGUGUGUGUAUCAAACUGAACAAUGUGGGAUAGGUGUGGAAAAAACCAGCACAGCUUUGGAUGACUAAUUCUUCACCAGCUCUUUAUCCUCCAUGUUUUUUUCCUCGUUUGUCCCAACUUGCAACAUGACUGGAGGUAAAGCAAAAAAAAAAAAAUUUUAAUUCUUGACGUCAGUUGGGAAUUUUCUGAAAAGUUGAACCUUGGAUGCUCUUGUGCGACCAAAAAAUGCAGACGGGAACGCUAUUCCCAUAAGGCUAAAUGUAAAAUGUGUGAGGGCAGAUGAGAAAAAAUGGCAAGUGGGAACGCACGUCAACACGCCCCUGCUUUGUGGUCGUGGGAAGCCUGGAGCCUUUCCCAGGGGAUUCGGGGCACAAGACAGGGGACACGCUGGACACCCAUCGCAGGACACAUUCACACACACAUUCACAUACUACGGACCAUUUAGAGAUGCAAAUCUGCCUACAGUGUAUAUCUUUGGACUGGGGGAGGAAACUGGAGUACCCGGAGGAAACCUUUGAAGCACAGGGAGAGCAUGCUCUGUGCACACAGGGUGGAGGAGGAAUUCGAACCCCCCAUCCCUGGAGGUGCGAAGCAAAUGUGCUAACCACUAAACCACCAAAUAAUAACUCAACAAUUCUAAUGAAACUCUUAUCAGUCUUUAAGCUAAAUAACCAAACUGUAACACUAUUUAUGUGUUCAGAUAUUGCCAUUUAUCAAGAACAAAAAGAAGCAACAGCAACAAUAUUAUAUUCAGGAUGUACUUUUCUUGUACAAUUUUGUUUUAUAACACUGAUUUGUUGUUCUGUUCUAUACAGUAUGUACACUUUGUUCAUCAUUAAAUAUAUAUAUAUAUAUAUAUAUAUAUAUAUAUAUAUAUAUAUAUAUAUAUAUAUAUAUAUAUAUAUAUAUCAAUUAAAUAGGGGGCAGUGGGAGCAGAAAGAGCUCUGUUCACUCAGAGAAAGAUGAAGAAUGUGAUGGGGAAAGAGGAAGGAUGUAGAGAAUCAGGUUGCUUAAUAUAGACAAACAUUUUCAGUAUCUGUCACAGUCCCUAAAGCCUCAGUAAUGUGUACCAUGGGAUUAACACUCCUGUGUUUAUGAGCACACACACACACACACAUUAGUAAAAUCCAACAGUUCUCAUCAGUGUGUGACUGUGGACUCUCUGACCUUACUGUGAGAGUAAACAGCAGUCAUAAAGUAGCCAAACACGGCUAAAGCCAUGAACUAGUUUAUUAGACAUCCAUAUAUCCGGAGCUGCUCCCCAAUAAAGACGUCAUGGAUAGUGAUGAACUCUCAGCUAGUGGGAGGAAACAAUAGAGAGAGAGAGAGAGAGAGAGAGAUGAAUUAUAGGUGUACUAUAUAACUCAGUAUACUAUAUAUAGUGCAAAAUAAUAUUCUUUUCAGUGUUUCACACACUUCACAUUCCAGGUGCACCGCAACAUGGCUGCACUGGAAAAAGUGCAAAUCCUUCCCCACUUUUGUAUAUUGCACUGUGUUUAUUGUCUUCUUAUGUACUUUUUUUCAUUAUGUAUGUUUUUAUUCUGUUUUGAUCGUUUGUUUUGACUUGGGUCCAUACGGCAUAAGGAAACCCCAGCAUGCUCAGCACUUAGUCACUGACUUCAUGUCUCUUUAGUUAAUGUACAGUAUAAUUCAAAAGUUUGGACAUGCAUUGUAAUAGAGAGGGGUUUAUUUUCUCCCCCAUAUUUUCAGUAAUUUCUACCUUUUAAAAUAAUAGUGAAGACAUUCAUUGGAUCUGACUGGACGGAUCUGGAGUCUGUCCCGGGAACACUAGGGUACAGGGCACCAUGCAGACAUCAGAA